AUUGAACGCUGGCGGCAGGCCUAACACAUGCAAGUCGAGCGGUAACAGGACUAGCUUGCUAGUUGCUGACGAGCGGCGGACGGGUGAGUAACGCGUAGGAAUCUGCCCGGUAGUUGGGGAUAGCCCGGAGAAAUCCGGAUUAAUACCGAAUAAUCUCUGCGGAGGAAAGGGGGCUUUGGCUCUCGCUACUGGAUGAGCCUGCGUGAGAUUAGCUGGUUGGUGGGGUAAAGGCCUACCAAGGCGACGAUCUCUAGCUGGUCUGAGAGGAUGAUCAGCCACACUGGGACUGAGACACGGCCCAGACUCCUACGGGGAGGCAGCAGUGGGGAAUAUUGGACAAUGGGGCAACCCUGAUCCAGCCAUGCCGCGUGUGUGAAGAAGGCUUUCGGGUUGUAAAGCACUUUCAGUGGGGAGGAAGGGAUGUCGGUUAAUACCCGGCAUUAUUGACGUCACCCACAGAAGA
rnacentral:rRNA from 1 species